rnacentral:rRNA from 1 species
ACAGGGAUUGCCCUAGUAACGGCGAGUGAACAGGCAAGAGCUCAGAUUUGAAAGGCACUUUUGUGCCGUUGUAUUCUGAAGUUAGGGUCCUGAGAAACGAUGCUUAAGUCUUCUGGAAAGGAGCGCCAUGGAGGGUGAUAGCCCCGUCUAGCAUUGACCUCAUAUAGGAUCUUAACAUGGAGUCGAGUUGUUUGGGAAUGCAGCUCAAAUGGGUGGUAUGCUCCAUCUAAAGCUAAAUAUCUGCGAGAGACCGAUAGUAAACAAGUACUGUGAGGGAAAGAUGAAAAGAACUUUGAAAAGAGAGUGAAAAAGUACGUGAAAUUGUUGAAAUGGAAGGGUAGGCCGCUAACCAUGUAGAGCCGUGUUUGGGGGGAAGAUAAAUGCUGUAGAAUGUAGCUCCUCGGAGUAUUAUAGAUGCAGUUCAUAUUCCCACCCGAGCGCGAGGAUCUCAGGUUCUACUAAAUGGUGGUCUACCACCCGUCUUGAA